CAAUCACAUCAUUGACAUGAAGCCGAAGUCAUUCAUUCAUUCCUAAAACACGAGCAGAUGUUUAAAACGUGUUUGGUUAAGUUUGCAUAUAGUGUGUUGUAAUGUCCCGGUCUAGAUUAAUGGUAAUUAUAAUUAGAGUGAUGUCAGAUUGUCCUAUUAAAACAGCAACAGCUUUUAAACAGCAAGGCAUUCGGUGAAACGACAUGGUUUGCUAAUUUUCUUCCUAAAAGCUUCUGGCAUCUGCUUGUGGAGUCAAACAGUGUUUUCGUGGCUGUGCGCUACGUGAUUCUGCUUUUGUGGCAAAGAAGCCAGGAUGCAGGAGUCUGCGAAUAAACGCUGAGGCAUGCUGGGGCCGCUGCCACACCUGGGAGAGGCCAGUUCCGGAGCCGCCAUAUAUCCAGAGGCACCACCGUGUCUGUACCUACAGCCCUACACGGCACCUGACAGCACGUUUACCAGGUUGUCGCCCUGGUGUCUCCCCAAUCUAUUAUUACCCUCAGGCCUUACAGUGUGACUGUACCUACUGCUCCUCAAACCACACAGAGUGUGAAACCUUUUAAGGGCACAUACACACAACUCAUUCGUACACAUUCUCUUCUUAGCUUAUUAUGUAAAAAAAUGAUGAAUAUUGUUAUGCAUUAGAUGUCAUAUACUUAAACAUGAUUUAACAAUAAAACAU